rnacentral:rRNA from 1 species
AGCAGCCGCGGUAAUUCCAGCUCCAAUAGCGUAUAUUAAAGUUGUUGCAGUUAAAAAGCUCGUAGUUGAAUUUCGGAAUCUGUCCGUUGGUCGGGCUUCAUUGUCCGUACUGGUGUGAUGGGUUCUUACCUUCUGAAUAACCAGCAUGCCAUUUAUUUGGUGCGCUGGGGAAGCAGGACUAUUACCUUGAAAAAAUUAGAGUGCUCAAAGCAGGCUAGUGCCUGAAUACAUUAGCAUGGAAUAAUAAAAUAGGACGGCAUGGUUCUAUUUUGUUGGUUUCUAGGAUCACCGUAAUGAUUAAUAGGGAUAGUUGGGGGCAUUAGUAUUCAAUUGUCAGAGGUGAAAUUCUUGGAUUUAUUGAAGACUAACUUCUGCGAAAGCAUUUGCCAAGGAUGUUUUCAUUAAUCAAGAACGAAAGUUAGGGGAUCGAAGACGAUCAGAUACCGUCGUAGUCUUAACCAUAAACUAUGCCGACUAGGGAUCGGACGAUGUUAAUUUCUUAAUGACUCG